rnacentral:rRNA from 1 species
ACAACUUUCAGCGAUGGAUGUCUCGGCUCGAACAACGAUGAAGGGCGCAGCGAAGUGUGAU